GCUCCGUUCGUCUAAUGGCUAGGACACCUGCCUUUCGAGCAGAUAAUAAGAGUUCGAUUCUCUUACGGAGUACAA
rnacentral:tRNA from 1 species